GGGGUUGUGGCUCAGUGGUGGAGCGCUUGCCUCGCAUGUGCAAGGGAUUGGGUUCAAGCCUCAGCACCA
rnacentral:tRNA from 1 species